rnacentral:rRNA from 1 species
CACGUAGGGUGCGAGCGUUGUCCGGAAUUAUUGGGCGUAAAGAGCUCGUAGGCGGUGUGUCGCGUCGGCCGUGAAAACCUGCAGCUUAACUGUGGGCUUGCGGUCGAUACGGGCAUCACUGGAGUUCGGCAGGGGAGACUGGAAUUCCUGGUGUAGCGGUGGAAUGCGUAGAUAUCGGGAGGAACACCAGUGGCGAAGGCGGUUGCCUGGGGCUUUGCUGACGCUGAUGCGCGAAAGCGUGGGGAGCGAGUCCGG